ensembl:lncRNA
GCACGUCUAGACAGGUCACCUGAGGACACUGGCUGGAAAAUACUUUGCUCACGCAUCUGCCAGCAAGGGACGUGCCCUAAUUGAGUGAUUGGAGGGAAAGAGGAAUGCGAUGUGAAUAGUUGUCUCCUGUGCAGAGAGGAGCUGUGUUCUGUUUGCCUACGGAUGGAUCUAGCGUGCAGCAAGACCCAGCCAGGAGCCCUAAGAGGAUGGAGGGCAGCUUUUUCCUCCCCUACACAGGCAAAGCAAUGCCCGUGUAGGACCAUUAUGGCAAGGGAAUCCAUCCUAUUCGGGGUCAGGGAAGAAGGAAGGCAUCCCUGUGGAAAGCAUGGCUUGCCAAGCGGUGCCAUGUCUGCACCCAGGAUCUGAACCGGCGAACCCCGAGCCGCCGAAGUGGAACGUGCGAACUUAACCGCUGCGCCACCGGGCCGGCCCUCAAAUCUAGAGAAUUUGAUCAAAGUCGGAAGUCUGCAUGUCCAAGGAACCAGGAGUGCUUCUGUGAAGGAAUGUGGAGACUGAGAAAUCAUCUGGUACAUUUCGGAGGUCUUCAGAAAGGUCAAGAGAGGGAACAGAAGCAGCCUUUGAAAGCUUCUUAAUAGACUGACAUUAAAAAAGAUUUAGGAGAUUAAACCUCGAUGCUUUGAUAUAAAACAUAAGUAGAACCAACCAGAAAAGAAUCUCGCCUAAAUAUGACAUCAAGUCCGCUUCAAGAAAUGGCGUGCUGGUGCUCGUCAGGCUGCGGCGGUUGGUUCACUGUUUAUCCUCCAAACGCCCUGUGUGGCCCGUUAGGAGCCCUACCAACAUCACCUUUAGAUUUCAGCCAGCGAGUCUUUCUCUUUUUUUCUCCUUCCCCAUCAUAAAGCUUUUUGCCAGCGUGAAAGCCACGUGCCUCAGAACGCCUGAUGCAAGGAGACGCUAAUAUCAGAUUGCAUCAUAUGAUCCUAGGUGUGGUCCUCCCGAAACUGGUUUUUCUUGAGAUUGUGCUGCAGUCGAAAGCAUUUUGGGUAUCACAGCCGAGAACUGGCCCUACCGGUCAGAUGGCAAGAGUCAUGUCUGCAUCUCUGCACUUCAGUUCCUCGCCGCCGUUCUCCUGGGGAAAGCCAGUGUGGCUUUCCUGGCUGAAAUGGGUGUGCUGCAGACAUCCAUCAGUUAGGCAUGUCAUCCUGCUGCUUAUGUAACCGACAUCACCUAGGGAGGUGCACCGACCAGGCGAGCUGGAAACAAUCCUUCUUCCUCUGAAAUGUGCUGUGAAUUGGAUCUCCCUUGAAUGCAAGGGACAGACCGGUUUGGUACAAAAGUGAAAGAGGAAAAGGGAAAGAAGGUGGCUGAGAUGUCUCGGGCACUUAGUAGGUGGCUGGCACUGCGUUAUAAGCACUUCACGCACACAAGUGUGGAAAUGUGGGUUCCCUCCCAGCCCGCCAUCCCCAGGACCCGCAGCAGGCUAUGCGGCCUCUUCCAGUGUUCAGUGAAGUCACAUGUCAAGUUAGACGAGGCCACAUUUAAGGUUCUUCCCAGAAAUGGAAUGGUAUUUAACUUGGCCCCAGAAAACUACACGUCCAGUUGGCAGAUUAAUUUCCUGGUCGCGGGUCUAUAAAAACCCAUCACUGAUUGUGGGGAUGAUGCUACUGACCAAUGGAGAAUUGGUCCUGGCGGUCUGUGUUUGUGAGAUUGGGUGCGGACAGGAUAAUACAACUCAGAUCUUCACCGUCCGACAUGGCAGCCCCUGGUCACAUGAGGCUGCUGAGCAGUAGAGAUGUGGCUAGUGUGAACGAGAUGUGCAGUGAGUAUACUUAUACUGGACCCCAAAGUCUUGGUGCAAUAAAAAGGAAUAUGGACUAUUUCAUUAAUAAUUUCGUUGUAUCGAUCACACGUUGAAAUGGGAAUAUUUUUAACAU